rnacentral:rRNA from 1 species
CUGCAUGAAGCUGGAAUCGCUAGUAAUCGCGGAUCAGAAUGCCGCGGUGAAUACGUUCCCGGGUCUUGUACACACCGCCCGUCACACCAUGGGAGUCGGAAAUGCCCGAAGCCGGUGGCCCAACCGAGAGGAGGGAGCCGUCGAAGGCAGGUUGGAUGACUGGGGUGAAGUCGUAACAAGGUAUC